CUCAAAAUUGUCAUCAAUGUUUGAGCAAUUCUAACUGUGAACUGCAAAUCUUAAGGACAUUUGGAACCUCUAACAAAAAGCUAUGUUAAAAUGGCAAUAUCAGGCAAUAUUCCAAAGUCCAUAGUUUUCAAUGUAAGCCAUGUUGGAGCGCUUUUCAGCAUGUACUACAGACAUUCAGGAUCUUUGCUUGAUAUAAGUUGUACAGCUUUACAAACAUAAUUACAGCUACAGUAACUGUACAUCAAAGUGAAAAUUAGUGGUGCAAAAAUGUUACAGACUGUUACUUCUAAUACUUAAAAAUUAUAUCUUUUUACAGGUUUACAGAUUUACACAAAAUGCAUUCCACAGAGUGAGUGAAGGGAGAGGAUGGCAGGCAAACCUUCAGACGAUUAAGCUUUUCAUCUUGGCUCAGAAGCUGCUGCUGCUGUUCUUGCUGGCCCUCAUCCUCUACAGUGGAUCAACCCUGACAAUCAUCCUCAGAUACCAUGGCCCAAACAUCCUGAUUGUUGACCUGUUAACUUACAGUAAACAGAUCAACGGGUUCCCAGUAUCUCUGUGAGCCUGUUGAGUUGGAGGACUGUACUGCUGGGUGUGUCUCAUUGCUAAUACAGGGUAGAUGUCAGAGGUUCAGUGCCUAUGAUGUCCCCUGUGUUCAUGAGACACAGCCAUGUUGGGUUUGACAGCAGUACAGUCCUCCUUAGAACCUCAACCUGCUGCGGAACCUGACACUUAACUUCCUCUGUAACAACACUGGUGAGGAGACAGUGGACAGCCAUCUUGCCAUGGCCUGGCUAUCUACUGCAGAUAUUACUGGUUAUGUUGUAGAGGUUGAACAAAAAUGGAAAAGACAAAAAAAUGUGCACUUUGUAAAU